rnacentral:rRNA from 1 species
UACGGGGGGAGGCAAGCGUUGUUCGGAUUUACUGGGCGUAAAGGGGCGCGUAGGCGGUCGUGACAAGUCACUUGUGAAAUCGUCCGGGCUUAACUCGGAACGGUCAAGUGAUACUGUCGGACUAGAGUACAGAAGGGGCAACUGGAAUUCUCGGGUGUAGCGGUGAAAAUGCGUAGAUAUCGAGAGGAACACCUGCGGCGAAGGCGGGUUGCUGGGCUGAUACUGACGCUGAGGCGCGAAAGCCAGGGAGCGAACGGG